AUGAGAAGAUUGCAUCAUAAUAAUACAUUACCAUGGCUUCUGAUUGGGGAUUUGAAUGAAAUACAAUUCCUACAUGAGAAAGAAGGUGGUAAUCCAAGACCACAACAGUAUAUGCACGCCUUUCAGGCAGCCAUUGAGGACUGCGAGUUGAGGGACAUGGGAUAUGUGGGAGACCAAUUCACGUGGUUUCGAGGCGGGAUUAGAGAACGACUGGAUAGGGGCUUGGUUAAUGAUGCAUGGUCCACUCUUUAUCCUCAUGUUGCAUAACAAAAUUUAAACUAUAAUCAUUCAGAUCAUAGACCCUUGUGUGUGGACACAGAGUGUUACUCGGGAGUGGCGGCCAAUGGUGCAGCAAGCAAGGAAUUUGAGGCGAGGUGGCUGCGUGAACAGUCAUUCUCGGAUGUCGUUCAGGAGGUGUGGGACUCGGCAAGCGCGGCUGCGGGACAAAAUACGGUCUAUGAAAAACUAAAUCGCAUGCACGAUCAGUUCCAUGAUUGGGAUCAGAGAGUUUUGAAGAAGCCCAAAAAGAGACUUCGAAAAGCACAGAGAGAGCUCGAGAAAAUUAUGUCUGGCCCUAUGAAUGAUGAAAGUGAAUCGAAAAGGAAAGAACUGUCUGAGCUAAUCGAGUUUCUGCUAGAACUCGAGGAGAUACAUGUCAUGCAGCGAUCUAGAGCAGGAUGGCUCAAGCAUGGGGAUCGGAACAGGGGUUUCUUCCAAGCAUUUGCUUCGGCGAGGCGUAAGAAGAACUUGAUAAAAAAAAUUAAAUGA
rnacentral:rRNA from 1 species